rnacentral:sRNA from 1 species
GAAGUAAAAGUCGUAACAAGGUUUCCGUAGGUGAACCUGCGGAGGAUCAUUAUUGAAUAAACCUGGUUGAGCUGUCGCUGGCUUCCUUGGGAGCAUGUGCACGCUUGCCACAUUUAUCACAAUCCACCUGUGCACUCUUUGUAGUCUCGGUAGAUGAAAGCGGACCCGCUCGGUAAGGCUUUUUGUAAGCCUUUCGGAUGUGGGAAGUGCCUUGUGAAUACAUGGCUCUUCUCAAAGGUUUUGUGAUCAUCUCUGUGACUAUGUAUUUCAUACACUUAUAUCGCAUAAUGCGGAAUGUAUCUAAUGGGCCUCUGUGCCUAUAAGUAUCAAUACAACUUUCAGCAACGGAUCUCUUGGCUCUCGCAUCGAUGAAGAACGCAGCGAAAUGCGAUAAGUAAUGUGAAUUGCAGAAUUCAGUGAAUCAUCGAAUCUUUGAACGCACCUUGCGCUCCUUGGUAUUCCGAGGAGCAUGCCUGUUUGAGUGUCAUUUAAUUCUCAAUCACACCAGCUUUGUAGUUGGUUGUGACUUGGAUGUGGGGGUUAUUACUGCAGGCCUUCCAUGUGAAGUCAGCUCCCCUAAAAUUCAUUAGCGGAACCGUUUGCGGUCAGUCACCGGUGUGAUAAUUAUUUACGCCCACGACGACGGCUGCUCUCUGUCUGUUCAGCUUAUAACCGUCCUAAUGGACAAUUGUUUGAAUGUUGACCUCAAUAUCAGGUAGGAUUACCCGCUGAACUUAAGCAUAUCA